AAGGGUAUUAAGGUUAAUCGCUUGCAAUUUAUUGCAAGAGGAAAGUCCGGGCUCCACAGAGCAAAAAGGGUAGCUAACGGCUACUGAAGGAAACUUUAAGGAAAGUGCCACAGAAAAUAGACCGCCAGUCUUUGAUUGGUAAGGGUGAAAUGGCGGUGUAAGAGACCACCAGUUUUUUAGGAGACUAAAAAAGCUAGGUAAACCCCCUUUGGAGCAAGACUAAAUAGGAAAGAUAGAUGGGCUGCUCGUCCACUUUCAGGGUAAGUUGCUUGAGUCUAUAGGCGACUAUAGAUCUAGAUAAAUGAUUGACAAAUACAAAACCCGGCUUAUUUAAUGCCCUUAUUA
rnacentral:RNase_P_RNA from 1 species